rnacentral:lncRNA from 1 species
CGAGAUGUCACAGGCCAUGAGGAACUGGAGGAUGCUCCAGAAUCCCACUGGGGGGUUGAAUCAGAGGUGUUCUUUCUCAACUCAGCAGUAGCUGAGAGGCAGCUACUGCCUGGUUCAGGCUUCUGUGGGAAUCAAGUCUAGGACGCCCUGUAUUGGUUUUUGUUUGUCUUGUUUUCUGUGGUAUUAUUGUGAAUGUCAGGCUGUGGUCCUGAAUGUUGUCGAUGCUGAAGGGGAGAUGGGGGAGGCUGAAGUGGUGGCCCUGGCCCUGGGACCAGCUUUAGGGUUGGCUUUCAGGGGCUGCUGAGCUAUGUUCUGCUCCUGGGAGUGUGACCAGCAGGUUGAGGUGGCGCAGGAGACCCUGGUGGAGGUGCUGGGCCCUUAGGAGCCUCUUUUGAGCUUGGUGUAGGCAGCCAUGGUUGGAGUGGCUGGCCAUGAGCACUCUGGUAUCUGGGGCUGAAUUCGGCGUUCUGGUGAGAGACCUGGAUCCUCACUGACCCUACUAGGCAAGAAUUAGUCAGGUUGAUCUGGGAGUCUAUCUCUCACCUUCUCUGACCUUCCCUGUCUUCUUUCGUCACCAUGGCUGCUUUGCAUACUUACCUAAUGAUGCUUCAUGUUCCCCUGCAUCCCACCUGCCUGCCUCCAGUCUUUGGCAUGCCGGGUGGUCACAGGUCCUUUCUGGUCUUCCAUGCUUUCCCCUAUGCCCCCAAGACUCAACAGAAAUUCUGGUACCAUCCCAUGUCGCUUGCAGUAAGCCAGAGUGCCUCUUGUUAGUGAGAGAAAGUGAUUUCACUUUGAGACAUCAGUGGCCCAGCAUAGCCAGCUGUGAGUGCUGUGCUCACUCCCCUGCCCCAUGUAUGUUUUCGGGUGGCCCUGCCCCCAUUCCUUUCCCCCUUGUGCUGCUGGCCAUGAAUCUGUUCCAAGCUCUGGUGAGGAAGGAAUGCGCCCUCUCAGGGCUUCUCCUGCCCAAUCAGCCCACUGGUAGAGCCCUGCUCUCUGGGAACUCACCUCCUGCCCAUCACGGAAGGCUGCAAGCACUGCUGGUGCAGAGCCCCAGGCGGCAGUCUCCAAGUUCCUUAUGCCAAGGGCAGAGCAGUCCUCACUGGAGAUUACUGGCACAUGGACUUGACUCCAAGGAAGAAUGUCCUGGAAGCAGAUGGGAGGCCCUCUCAGCUGCUUUGGUGACAUAGACACUAGGUUCAUGGAAGCAGGCUGGCGUGAGGUUCCCUUCCAGGCAUCUGUUACAGGUUUCAGCUGCAGGUCUGUCUCCACAUGGGACCUGCUGCCACAGAUCCAUCUGAGACAGCGCCAUCUCCUGCGACCUACAGACAAAAAAGCUGCCUUCCUCCAAAAAUCUCAUCUGACUGAGGACUCCCAAGACAAGUGCUAAACCACAGAAGACAGACUUGGGACCUUCCAGCUAGAGAUGGACUCAUUUGCCAAAGCCAAAUGGCUGCUGAACUUUGGGGAAAGUUACAUGAUAGUGAGGAAAACAUAAUGUCUAUCUAGAUUAAUUAAUUGAUGUUCAAAAUGGAUGCUAUCGCCCUCAAUUUGUACUACCCAUGGAACAAAUAAUUGGUUGUACAAUCUCUUGCCUUCUCAACCCUCAACUCUCAACUCUUAACCCUUAACCCUUUUUACUACUCUGGCUUUGUUCUUACUUCUCCAGGCUAUACAUUUUUUUCUGAUACUUCCAUCCACUCUAAAUUUUCACCACUGACACAGUCACAUCAGUGACACCCACCCCUUUUUUUCUUAUAAAAACAGAGGGGGAGUUGUGGGGAAUUGGGGUAUGCACAGACAGGCUGGUCUCCAGUCGAGCUGAGGUCAGAACCCCGAAGGGUAAUAAUUCACCUACAUGACACGGUAGGCGUUCCCUCAUGCUCCUGGAACUCUGGCUCCUGCCUAAGUUGGUGUGGCCCACAGCCCCCACAAGAGAAGCAUGGCUAGAAGUCACAUAGGCAACGUUCCAAGCUUCUGACCUUCAGGCUAAACUCCUCUCCAGUUACCUAGCAACAGUAAAGACCAUAAAAGGGCUGUUCAGCACCACCUCACUCUCUUACUUCUCACUUUCUUACUUCUUACCCCUCACAAUCACCCCCUUUCUCCUCUCUCUUUUGCUACACCCACUCCAAAGAACUCUGCUUGACAAGCAAAAAGGCCUGAAGGCAGUCAUGAGGCAAACAGUUUCAAGGAAACUAUGCCUCCUAGAACCUUGGCAUUCCAAUAGCCUGUAUACACAAACCCUGUCCCCUUGUUAGUCUGGUGUAUGGAUACACAUGCUCUCUUUCAGUAUUGUUUUAUUAUAAGUGCCUUUAAGGAUUGAUUCUUGACAUAUAGCUAAGCCUCCACUAGUGUUCCAAUGGUUCCUAGAAAAUCCUUGAAGUCAAAGGUGAGCUUGAGGAGCAGUAAGAAUGUUACCUAUUCAGUAACAUUCGAAUUCACUUCUAGUAGAAACCCUGAAAAUAAUCAAGCAUUACAAAGAACAGAUCUAGAAAAGCUCAGGGCUAAUCUGCAUAGUGAUUACUUAGGACAAUAGCUGAGUUGCACCCAAACACAGGAAUACACAAUGUCCUAGCAAAUAGGUGGUUUGUCCAUGAAAGAUUUAGUGGAAGGGCAUUCCCCUGGUACAGGUUUCUUCACUAGGCCCAGUGGAAUAGCAUAAUCAGGAAUUUACUAAAGAACCCCUGAUGGUGGGUUUAACAAUAGACUAGCAUUGCAUCAGAGCAUUCACCUGGCACCAUUUUAAGUGGUAAAUGUGGCCUGGUUCCCUCCAUCUUUUGAUGUAUGCAUUCCUUUUGUUUUGUGUCACUGUAACUUGGCAGAUGUGUUCUCCUGGUUGUUUGUUUGUUUGUUUGUUUGUUUGUUUGUUUUUCUUCUGUAUAAAAAAGCCUGGUGUUCGUUUGGACAUUACAUUCAGACCCAACACAUUCUCUCCUGUCUGCCUCUGUCUGUACCCCAUUCUCACCGACUCUAUGCCCAUCUGUCCAAGACACUGAUUCCCAUGGAUUGAGGGGGGCUGACUGAGCCCGGUCCAUGACACUCUUUGUCUUCUCUCCUCUCUCCUCUCUCUUUGUCCUCUCCUCCCUCCCUCUUACUCUCUUUCUCUCUAACCUUCCCCCUCUCUCUUCUACCUUCUCUCUUUCUCCCUGCCUUUCUAUAAUAAAGCUCUAAAACCAUAGAAUGUCUCUGCUCAUCAAGACCCACUGAGCUUGGAGGAUGAGAUAGGCUUUCUCCUAAUGAGCCGUUUCUA